UACAGGGGAUGCAAGUGUUAUCCGGAAUUAUUGGGCGUAAAGCGUCUGCAGGUGGACAAGUAAGUCUUUUGUUAAAUUUCUAGGCUCAACCUGGAGUCGGCAAAAGAAACUACUUGUCUUGAGUAUGGUAGAGGUAAAGGGAAUUUCAAGUGGAGCGGUGAAAUGCGUAGAUAUUUGAACGAACUCCAAUAGCGAAGGCACUUUACUGGGCCAGUACUGACACUCAGAGACGAAGGCUAGGGGAGCAAACAGG
rnacentral:rRNA from 1 species